rnacentral:misc_RNA from 1 species
AAAUUUCAAGUGUGGGAUCUUGGUACGCCAAUUUAUUCCUUUUGAUCCAUAUUUCCUGCUGGCAUAUAACUAGAAUCACAUUUUCUAUAUAUGACUGGCAUAUGAUUAGAGUCAUUUAUUCCAAUGAGCCUUAUUACUAGCUGCUCACUACUGUUAAAUUUUAAGAGCGUGUGAAGCAACAUCUCUUUCAAUUACUAAGAAUAAUCUUUAAUGCUGUCUAUGAAUUUCUUUUGUUCACUUGAUUUUGGGUGGAUGAUACAAAAGAGUGUGGAGCCUGAGGUUGGUCAGUAGAUAUAUGCAUUGAAUUUAUGUGAAUUUGUUAUUCAUAAUUGAAUUUGUACAGCUGAUUUUAUGGGGCAGCUUCCUGGUGAAAUGAAAUAGUGCAAACUUCAUUACGUGCAAAUAAACAUGUAUCUGCUUCUGAAGAAUUGUACACCAAACAAAGACUCUUACCUUUCCAUAUGUUGUUUGUAGAGAGAAAAUAACUAUUAUAGGAAGGACAAAUCAAAUGUGAUUAGCAAGAAAAUUUACUAGAGAGAAUCAGUCAUAAUCUAAAAGGUAUGCAUGGAAUGAAGAGAGAGAAAAAGAAGCGGGAGAAGUGCAAUAAGAGUAUAAAUUUAUGAUGAUAAAUUGGCAACCAUGCCUUUGAUGCUUGAAAAGGUAUAUAUAACCUUGAAAUAGUUCACAAGGCUAAAAUUAAGUGUUUUGGUUACUUUUUAGCCCGGUUAGAUGGUUUUGAAUUGUUCAAAAUGCCCUAGUCACUCAGCUUUUUCCAGGUCAUGUGCAUGUCCGCUAUGCAACAAAAAUCAAAUCACCAGUAGGCCAGGUCAAUGGUUUGCUAGUUCAGGGUUCUAAAUGGCUCAGCCUAUUUUAGCAACUAUGCUUAAACUCCUUGACUGUCUCUGGAUAUUCAAGAAAGGACACAUAAGUAUAUUAAAGUGCUUGGAAAUCUCUGGACUUGUGCAUACUAUGUAACUAUUCUUCUUUCUUUGAAAAGCACAAAGAAUUUUUAGUGCAAGAAUGAAAGUAAAUUAUGAUUAUGGGGCUGAAUGUAUUAUUAUCAUAACUCUUAAAAGUAAGGGUUCAAAACUUCAAAUACAAAUUGAAUUGUCCUUUUUCUAUUAUGAGCUGUUUUUCAAAACCAUAUCUCACCUGCAGCAAAUAUGGAUGUUGCCUGUGGGCUCCACAAUAAAAUUCCCCAAGUUACAGAGAAUGGGAUCCUGUAGUAAAACAUGUGAAAUCCUUUUUUUUUCUUAAAUUAACCUUUUUUACACUACUGCAUGAGCAAUGGCUUGAGAACUUGUGGCAACUUGAACCAGAAGCAAGAAUUUUUAUCUUGUCAAAAGGCUGCUAAUUCUAAUUAUUUGGUAACGUGAAUUAGGAGAAAUACAGAAAACAGUCUUGAAUUCAUGCUUAUUUAUCUUGUUGGGAUUAUCAAUCCCACAUCGGGAAAGUACGAACAUAAAAGGGUAAAUAUAAGUG